UUUUUCCGCUAAAACUUCAAAACACACUUUUUCCGUCCGAACCGCAAAAACGUAUUUUUCCGCCAAACCCAUAAAACGUAUUUUCCGCCAAAACCAUAAAAAUGCACUUUUUCUCGAAAACACAUAUUUCCUCAAAAACCGCAAAAAUAUUUUCAGCCAAAACCGUAAAAAUGCUAUUUUUCCGUCGAAACGUAAAAAAAUAUAUUUUAGUCAUUUUAUUAACAAGUCCACCUGGAUGCAGAUGAAAGUUAAUAAAUGAAAAACAAACGAACAUAGUUGCAUUCAGAUGGUCCAUCUGGAUGCAUAGACGAAAUGAAGAAACAAACGACACCCAGAUGUAGCAUCUGAAUAAGACAUCUAGAUGGACCAUCUGGAUGCAUCUUCCAGAUGUACAAACGAACAUGCCUUAAUACACUUAAAAUUAAGGAAAACUAUGGUCGAUAAUAACAAGAUUCUUAUCCGACGUCGUUUCACUUUAGCGGGCCAAUCGAGGCCAAUCGAGGAGUAAAAUUCAAAAGCCCAUUGGGCCCACCGUUUAACCGCUAAACGCAAUAGAUGACCGAAACAAAAGAGAUCUCUACUUCUUCUCUCCCCAUAAAGACGCAGAGAGCGAUAACUCGCCGCCGUUCAUUAACCUCCGGCGUGCAUCUACCAAACUCCAUCGACUUUGUCUUGUGUUAGAUAUCUAUUGCCGUAUCUACGGUUGAUUUGAUCCUUUGUUCGAAUCUUGGCAUUGAUGAUUUUUUGUAGCUAGUGAGUGAAAAUGGCCGGAGAAGGUGAGGAAGAUAUGCCUAGAGACGCUCUGAUUGUCAAGGCACAUCAGCAGCUCAUGUACUAAUAAACUUACUCUGGUCUCUUCACUCUGUGCGGCCUUGUUUUUUUUUCUCUUCUACCUAAUUUUUUUUUUAAUCAUUUUCGAGACCUUGUCGGAAUCUCAUGUAUGUGACUCUCAUUUAAAGCCGUUGAUUAUAUUGCU